rnacentral:rRNA from 1 species
AUUGAACGCUGGCGGCAUGCCUUACACAUGCAAGUCGAACGGUAACGCGGGGCAACCUGGCGACGAGUGGCGAACGGGUGAGUAAUGUAUCGGAACGUGCCCAGUUGUGGGGGAUAACUGCUCGAAAGAGCAGCUAAUACCGCAUACGACCUGAGGGUGAAAGCGGGGGAUCGCAAGACCUCGCGCAAUUGGAGCGGCCGAUAUCAGAUUAGGUAGUUGGUGGGGUAAAGGCUCACCAAGCCAACGAUCUGUAGCUGGUCUGAGAGGACGACCAGCCACACUGGGACUGGGACACGGCCCAGACUCCUACGGGAGGCAGUAGCGGUGAAUUGUGGACACUGGACGCAAGUCAGAUCCAGCCAUGCCGCGUGCGGGAAGAAGGCCUUCGGGUUGUAAACCGCUUUUGUCAGGGAAGAAACGCUCUGGGUUAAUACCUCGGGGUAAUGACGGUACCUGAAGAAUAAGCACCGGCUAACUACGUGCCAGCCGCCGCUGUAACAC